rnacentral:rRNA from 1 species
CAAUCAAACCGGGAGAUAGCUGGUUCUCCCCGAAAGCUAUUUAGGUAGCGCCUCGUGAAUUCAUCUCCGGGGGUAGAGCACUGUUUCGGCAAGGGGGUCAUCCCGACUUACCAACCCGAUGCAAACUGCGAAUACCGGAGAAUGUUAUCACGGGAGACACACGGCGGGUGCUAACGUCCGUCGUGAAGAGGGAAACAACCCAGACCGCCAGCUAAGGUCCCAAAGUCAUGGUUAAGUGGGAAACGAUGUGGGAAGGCCCAGACAGCCAGGAUGUUGGCUUAGAAGCAGCCAUCAUUUAAAGAAAGCGUAAUAGCUCACUGGUCGAGUCGGCCUGCGCGGAAGAUGUAACGGGGCUAAACCAUGCACCGAAGCUGCGGCAGCGACACUGUGUGUUGUUGGGUAGGGGAGCGUUCUGUAAGCCUGCGAAGGUGUGCUGUGAGGUAUGCUGGAGGUAUCAGAAGUGCGAAUGCUGACAUAAGUAACGAUAAAGCGGGUGAAAAGCCCGCUCGCCGGAAGACCAAGGGUUCCUGUCCAACGUUAAUCGGGGCAGGGUGAGUCGACCCCUAAGGCGAGGCCGAAAGGCGUAGUCGAUGGGAAACAGGUUAAUAUUCCUGUACUUGGUGUUACUGCGAAGGGGGGACGGAGAAGGCUAUGUUGGCCGGGCGACGGUUGUCCCGGUUUAAGCGUGUAGGCUGGUUUUCCAGGCAAAUCCGGAGAAUCAAGGCUGAGGCGUGAUGACGAGGCACUACGGUGCUGAAGCAACAAAUGCCCUGCUUCCAGGAAAAGCCUCUAAGCAUCAGGUAACAUCAAAUCGUACCCCAAACCGACACAGGUGGUCAGGUAGAGAAUACCAAGGCGCUUGAGAGAACUCGGGUGAAGGAACUAGGCAAAAUGGUGCCGUAACUUCGGGAGAAGGCACGCUGAUAUGUAGGUGAAGCGACUUGCUCGUGGAGCUGAAAUCAGUCGAAGAUACCAGCUGGCUGCAACUGUUUAUUAAAAACACAGCACUGUGCAAACACGAAAGUGGACGUAUACGGUGUGACGCCUGCCCGGUGCCGGAAGGUUAAUUGAUGGGGUCAGCGCAAGCGAAGCUCUUGAUCGAAGCCCCGGUAAACGGCGGCCGUAACUAUAACGGUCCUAAGGUAGCGAAAUUCCUUGUCGGGUAAGUUCCGACCUGCACGAAUGGCGUAAUGAUGGCCAGGCUGUCUCCACCCGAGACUCAGUGAAAUUGAACUCGCUGUGAAGAUGCAGUGUACCCGCGGCAAGACGGAAAGACCCCGUGAACCUUUACUAUAGCUUGACACUGAACACUGGUCCUUGAUGUGUAGGAUAGGUGGGAGGCUUUGAAGUGUGGACGCCAGUCUGCAUGGAGCCGUCCUUGAAAUACCACCCUUUAAUGGCUGGUGUUCUAACGUGGGCCCGUAAUCCGGGUUGCGGACAGUGUCUGGUGGGUAGUUUGACUGGGGCGGUCUCCUCCUAAAGAGUAACGGAGGAGCACGAAGGUUGGCUAAUCCUGGUCGGACAUCAGGAGGUUAGUGCAAUGGCAUAAGCCAGCUUGACUGCGAGCGUGACGGCGCGAGCAGGUGCGAAAGCAGGUCAUAGUGAUCCGGUGGUUCUGAAUGGAAGGGCCAUCGCUCAACGGAUAAAAGGUACUCCGGGGAUAACAGGCUGAUACCGCCCAAGAGUUCAUAUCGACGGCGGUGUUUGGCACCUCGAUGUCGGCUCAUCACAUCCUGGGGCUGAAGUAGGUCCCAAGGGUAUGGCUGUUCGCCAUUUAAAGUGGUACGCGAGCUGGGUUUAGAACGUCGUGAGACAGUUCGGUCCCUAUCUGCCGUGGGCGCUGGAGAACUGAGGGGGGCUGCUCCUAGUACGAGAGGACCGGAGUGGACGCAUCACUGGUGUUCGGGUUGUCAUGCCAAUGGCACUGCCCGGUAGCUAAAUGCGGAAGAGAUAAGUGCUGAAAGCAUCUAAGCACGAAACUUGCCCCGAGAUGAGUUCUCCCUGAGACUUAGAGUCUCCUGAAGGAACGUUGAAGACGACGACGUUGAUAGGCCGGGUGUGUAAGCGCAGCGAUGCGUUGAGCUAACCGGUACUAAUGAACCGUGAGGCUUAACCUU